CACAAGGUGACGAUCUCUUGGGCGGAACCAAAAGUCGGGAAACUUUGGUUCCGCCCGGAUGUUUCCGCCCAGACCGAAGAACGGAAACACCGGACAUCCGGCAGAUUCGCGGAGGCUGUAAUCAGCCGAUUGGGCACAGCUGUGCCUAGUUGAAGAGAUCGCUGGGCAAUUGGAUGACUGAAGUACAGAGAGGAGUAUAUAAAGCACAGUUAGAUCACAGUUCGGGAGUUCGGGCACGAGAGGGGGAUUGACACGGGGAGAGCUCCUCUGCUUAGGGCAGGAGAGGUAACUACGUACCUUUUGAAGAGCCCGCAGGCUCUGUUGAUCCGGGCUGCGCUUGAAGCGCGCGGAAAGAAGACAGGAGCUGCCUGGGGUGAAAGAAAGGCGAUACGUGAGUGGAGAAAAGGAGCACCCCGAAGAGAGAGCAUUGUGCUGUCAAGCCUGCGCUUAGUGUGUGCUGGGAAACGGAGCUGUGCUCAUUUUUGGACGUGGUGGCUAUCUGUAUUUCUCUCUCUCUCUCUCGUUUCAGUCUUUAUUGUGGACCUGCUGGAGUGAACAGGAAAGCCCUAUGGGUAAGAAGGAACUUUGUUCUAACCAAUACUGAAGGAGUAAAGCAGGAAGAGAUAUUGACCGUCUGGUACAACGUAAAUAAAGGCUAUCCGCCGUGAGUAUACCCUUUCUGUGUGGAGUAACUGGCAAAAAUUAACUUGUGUAGCCAUUGGAAACCUCCAGGAAAAGGAGGGCGGCCCUACCCCUACAAGAGUGUGGUGGGCGAGCCGUUAGAAGUACACAUUCAAACAGCCGCCGCAACGAGACUUAUUGUGGUCGUAUUUCCCAUCGCCUUAUCGUAGCCCAAGCGCAGUGGAGGACACCGGGCGCUUCCCUUGUUGUGGUGCACUUAUAGUGUGGUGAGUGAGACUGUGUAAUAAAUCUUUUCACGUUGGAGUGGUGCUGUGUAUUUGCUGUGGGUUGCUGUGUGUCUUGUAGACGAAGCCCCGCAUCAUCCAUUUUCUUCCACUGGGCAGAGGACGGGGAGGCCAACGACCUCAGAAACUACUGUUACUAUUUGUAGUGUGCUGUUUGGAGUACGAAGGGACGCAGACUAAGAGCUGUCCGUGACCGUGAGUAAACCAUUGGAAACAUUCGUGGUGUGAACUUACCUGUGUCUGUUUUGUCGCAGAGUCAGAGGCGAAAGGGUCCGCCGCCCCGUGGUCUCUACGAAAAGGGCGCCCCCGUCUAGGAAUCGAUCGGCCUAUGGGCAUUGGAGAUAGGGCAGCGCUCGACCCGGUGAGGUGGUGUGUGACCUUCGCCCCUCUGCUGACCUACGGAGGAGAACGAUACCUACCCAGAAAGCUGUAAACAGCAGAGCCGGUGAGAAUUACUCGAAGUCUCAGCAACAGUGCCUUUGUGUUCUAGCGGCCACCUGUGGAGAGAGAGCAGAACGAGAGUGAAUAAUAGAAGAACAAACUGUGAACGUGAUACCUACCCAGAAAGCUGUAAACAGCAGAGCCGGUGAGAAAUACUCGAAGUCUCAGUAACAGUGUCUUUGUGUCCUAGCGGCCACCUGUGGAGAGAGAGCAGAACGAGAGUGAAUAAUCGAAGAACAAACUGUGAACGUGAUACCUACCCAGAGAGCUGUAAACAUCAGAGGAGGCGAGAAAUACUCGGAGUCUCAGUAACAGUGUCUUUGUGUCCUAGUGGCCUCCUGUGGAGAGAACGGAAAACGAGAAGGAACAUGAGGAGAAUGGACUGUGUGAAGAUACAGUGGUGGUGGAGGAGGGCCUAGAGUGGCCAUUGUUUUAAGUCCCCGUUUCCCCUUCCCUAUUUAAUAUUUUUAAGUAAUUUAAUAAAGGAUAUUUUAAUUUUAUGCUUACCUUGUGUGUCUGGUCAUUGGGGUGGCUUUGGGAAUCUCCUCGAGGUGGAGAAAGGGGCGUGACCUUAUUUACAUCUGGGUCCACCCCUACCUGUGACAGAUUUGGCGUAGUCGGCAGUCCACCUCGGGUUGAGACCAAGGUCCCCCAAUGGCCUACCACGUUUUUUAAAGAAAAGCUCCCAUCAACACCCUAUCAGUCCCUAAACAACGCGUUCUCGGGACGAGAACGGAUUGGCGGGGGAGGAUGUCACAAGGUGACGAUCUCUUGGGCGGAACCAAAAGUCGGGAAACUUUGGUUCCGCCCGGAUGUUUCCGCCCAGACCGAAGAACGGAAACACCGGACAUCCGGCAGAUUCGCGGAGGCUGUAAUCAGCCGAUUGGGCACAGCUGUGCCUAGUUGAAGAGAUCGCUGGGCAAUUGGAUGACUGAAGUACAGAGAGGAGUAUAUAAAGCACAGUUAGAUCACAGUUCGGGAGUUCGGGCACGAGAGGGGGAUUGACACGGGGAGAGCUCCUCUGCUUAGGGCAGGAGAGGUAACUACGUACCUUUUGAAGAGCCCGCAGGCUCUGUUGAUCCGGGCUGCGCUUGAAGCGCGCGGAAAGAAGACAGGAGCUGCCUGGGGUGAAAGAAAGGCGAUACUCUUUAUUGUGGACCUGCUGGAGUGAACAGGAAAGCCCUAUGGGUAAGAAGGAACUUUGUUCUAACCAAUACUGAAGGAGUAAAGCAGGAAGAGAUAUUGACCGUCUGGUACAACGUAAAUAAAGGCUAUCCGCCGUGAGUAUACCCUUUCUGUGUGGAGUAACUGGCAAAAAUUAACUUGUGUAGCCAUUGGAAACCUCCAGGAAAAGGAGGGCGGCCCUACCCCUACAAGAGUGUGGUGGGCGAGCCGUUAGAAGUACACAUUCAAACAGCCGCCGCAACGAGACUUAUUGUGGUCGUAUUUCCCAUCGCCUUAUCGUAGCCCAAGCGCAGUGGAGGACACCGGGCGCUUCCCUUGUUGUGGUGCACUUAUAGUGUGGUGAGUGAGACUGUGUAAUAAAUCUUUUCACGUUGGAGUGGUGCUGUGUAUUUGCUGUGGGUUGCUGUGUGUCUUGUAGACGAAGCCCCGCAUCAUCCAUUUUCUUCCACUGGGCAGAGGACGGGGAGGCCAACGACCUCAGAAACUACUGUUACUAUUUGUAGUGUGCUGUUUGGAGUACGAAGGGACGCAGACUAAGAGCUGUCCGUGACCGUGAGUAAACCAUUGGAAACAUUCGUGGUGUGAACUUACCUGUGUCUGUUUUGUCGCAGAGUCAGAGGCGAAAGGGUCCGCCGCCCCGUGGUCUCUACGAAAAGGGCGCCCCCGUCUAGGAAUCGAUCGGCCUAUGGGCAUUGGAGAUAGGGCAGCGCUCGACCCGGUGAGGUGGUGUGUGACCUUCGCCCCUCUGCUGACCUACGGAGGAGAACGAUACCUACCCAGAAAGCUGUAAACAGCAGAGCCGGUGAGAAUUACUCGAAGUCUCAGCAACAGUGCCUUUGUGUUCUAGCGGCCACCUGUGGAGAGAGAGCAGAACGAGAGUGAAUAAUAGAAGAACAAACUGUGAACGUGAUACCUACCCAGAAAGCUGUAAACAGCAGAGCCGGUGAGAAAUACUCGAAGUCUCAGUAACAGUGUCUUUGUGUCCUAGCGGCCACCUGUGGAGAGAGAGCAGAACGAGAGUGAAUAAUCGAAGAACAAACUGUGAACGUGAUACCUACCCAGAGAGCUGUAAACAUCAGAGGAGGCGAGAAAUACUCGGAGUCUCAGUAACAGUGUCUUUGUGUCCUAGUGGCCUCCUGUGGAGAGAACGGAAAACGAGAAGGAACAUGAGGAGAAUGGACUGUGUGAAGAUACAGUGGUGGUGGAGGAGGGCCUAGAGUGGCCAUUGUUUUAAGUCCCCGUUUCCCCUUCCCUAUUUAAUAUUUUUAAGUAAUUUAAUAAAGGAUAUUUUAAUUUUA